AACCUGAACCUCAGUGAGUCCAGACACCAGGUGCUGGCACCAGAGGAAAUAAACAGGGUGAUGGAAAUGUGUCUAGCUGGUUGACAGAUACCACUGCAGUGUACGGAUGGCCUCCCUGUGCAAAAGCCAAGUAAAAGUUCAUUUGUGAGCUCUCCCUCUCCCAGACCCACAGCUGUGGAACUGUGGCAGGGACAGAACUGGAGAGAGGACGUCAUGCCGAGCUCACCCUGUCCACCCCUGGGACUAAGGCUUAACGACAGUGAGUCAGACUCCUUCAGCUGUUUCUACUUCUACAACUCCUAAUUUUGCAAAGUACAUUGGCUGUUUUGGGCUAUUGCUGCAGUGACCUAGUCUGAAUGCUACGCUGGCCAGCUUGCUCCAAGAAUUAAUGGACUUCAAGCCUGGAUAAUGUGUCCCGGAGAAGGUAAAGGAGAAAAAGCACCUUGCUAUACUCGCUUUGCACUUAUUAUUCCACUCCCAUGAAGAUUCCAGGAAGCCACUGGAGCUUCUCUUAUUCUUGACAGUGAAAGUGAGUUGGGAAUGUUGAAGGAUUAACAAGUCCUAGAGACUGAACCUCAGCACCUCUGAAUCCAGUAAAAUCAUUAGCCGUCCCCAUUCCCUGAAGACUGUCUCUAAGUGGUUUUGCCAAAACAAGUCUCUCUACCAGUAGGAGAUUGUCAAGGCUCCAAUUAGUAAAUCCCUAAGCCCCAAAGUCAAUUAUGUGGGUAAUGAAAAGUGCUGGAAAACUCUCAUUCCUGGGAAAAGAAAGAAUCAGAUAGGCCAUUAGCCCCACUGGGUGCAAAGAAGGAUUAGAAUCCACCACAAAAAGCAAUGUUCAUGCUUCUACUGAAAUGGAAUAAAGAUGACUGAAUGACUAUACUGUUA